ACGUAGGUGGCAAGCGUUGUCCGGAAUUAUUGGGCGUAAAGCGCGCGCAGGCGGUCCUUUAAGUCUGAUGUGAAAGCCCACGGCUCAACCGUGGAGGGUCAUUGGAAACUGGGGGACUUGAGUGCAGAAGAGGAAAGUGGAAUUCCACGUGUAGCGGUGAAAUGCGUAGAGAUGUGGAGGAACACCGAUUGCGAAGGCAGCUCACAAAACUAUAACUGACACUGAGGCUCGAAAGUGCGGGGAUCAAACAGGA
rnacentral:rRNA from 1 species